AUGGACCAAGCCCUAGCAACUCCUACCUGGUCAGCAAUCUUCCCAGAUGAGAUUGUUUCACAUGAGGUCGCGGCAUACUCAGAUCACUCGGCCAUCAGAUUAUCCUUAAAUGAUGAUGCUCUUGCUGCACGGCCCAAAGCACCUCGAGUGUUCUGUUACGAGGCAAUGUGGGAGACGCAUCCAGAUUUACCGGAUGAUCUGAACUUGAUGGCGAAGCCCGACCGACACAUUCAAGCAAAUCAGACAUCUACUCACAAUGCUCGUCAACCAUGGGAUGCUUCACCUGUGGGUCUUUCAAAGUUCAAUACAUAUGCUGCUGUAUCUUCACAUAAUGGCAAGGGUUCAGUUGUUGUUGUUUGUAGGGAUGAGAGGGGCGUCUACUUGGGCGCGCCGGCUUUGGUCUUUGCGAUCACUGACCCACCAACACUUGAAAUUUUGGCUUGCCAAGAGGUUAUGGCCUUGGCACUAGACCUAAAUGAGCGACACAUAAUGAUUGUUUCUGACUGUCAGACGGUUAUCAAGGACAUUUUUGAUGCUAACCCUAGCCGCCGCCACUGCACCGGCGCCUCCCCCGCCCCACUGACCGGCUUCCUAGGGCUUCCCUCCGCCCGUUUCUUCACCGCCGCGUUGGUCGCGACCCCGCCACCCUCGCCAGCGCUGGUCCCUGCACGGACGGCACGAACGCCGCCGCCCCGUUCAAGAUACUGCACCAACUCCCCAGCUCGUCCUCGUCCUAGUGGAGACUCCACCCCCGCGGCUCCGCUUUCUUAG
rnacentral:rRNA from 1 species